CCCAGAACUUGCCAGUCAAGAUGAAAAACUUCUUCUAAUGUAAUCCAGCUUGAAAGCUACUCAAGAGCAGCUAACUGAGCAAAUAGCAGAAACAGUUCGCCAAGAACAGAACAGUAGAAAACCCCAGGCAGAGCUGAAGACAGUGACAGAAGGGAUUAUUGCUUCUGAAGAAGAAAAAAAUGAUUACAAAUCAGUUGCUGUAUUGAAGAUCAAGAGCAAUAAAGUUGUUUGCUUCAUUGAAGAUCAGUUUCUUUAUUGAAGAUCAAUAGCACUGAGAUUUUACAGCUCAUUCAGGAUGGACUAGAAACUGCUCCUCAAAAGAGGCAAAUGACCUACUGUUUAAAAGGGCAAGCACGCAGACAGUGGCAACCCAGCGUCUGAACCUAUGGCUCUUUGUUAAACUUGAACAGAUUAACAGUAAGUCAUAAAAUAUAUGAUUCUAUGUUAUUUUGUACUGUACAUACUAGAAACUAAUAGUUUACUUAUCUGUCCAAAUGUACAUUAUACAUAAGGACCGUCUGAAAAAGAGACCCAAGUAAACGUAAAAAGAUAUACCAUAUUUUCACAAUUCAAAGAUUAUCUUUUUAAAUAUUUUAAUAUUUUUGAG
rnacentral:lncRNA from 1 species